CCUACGGGGGGCUGCAGUCGAGAAUCAUUCACAAUGGGGGAAACCCUGAUGGUGCGACGCCGCGUGGGGGAAUGAAGGUCUUCGGAUUGUAAACCCCUGUCAUGUGGGAGCAAAUUAAAAAGAUAGUACCACAAGAGGAAGAGACGGCUAACUCUGUGCCAGCAGCCGCGGUAAUACAGAGGUCUCAAGCGUUGUUCGGAAUUGCUGGGCGUAAAGCGUGCGUAGGCUGUUUCGUAAGUCGUGUGUGAAAGGCGGGGGCUCAACCCGCGGACGGCACAUGAUACUGCGAGACUGGAGUAAUGGAGGGGGAACCGGAAUUCUCGGUGUAGCAGUGAAAUGCGUAGAUAUCGAGAGGAACACUCGUGGCGAAGGCGGGUUCCUGGACAUUAACUGACGCUGAGGCACGAAGGCCAGGGGAGCGAAAGGGAUUAGAUACCCCGGUAGUC
rnacentral:rRNA from 1 species